GCUCCAAUAGCGUAUAUUUAAGUUGUUGCAGUUAAAAAGCUCGUAGUUGGAUUUCGGGCGGCGCAGCCGGUCCGCCUUUGGGUGUGCACUGGUUCGUGCCGUCUUCUCGGCGAGGACGCGCUCUCGUGCUUUACUGCGCGGGACGCGGAGUCGUCACAGUUACUUUGAAAAAAUUAGAGUGUUCAAAGCGGGCUUACGCU
rnacentral:rRNA from 1 species